ACAGCAGCAUAAGCGCAGCACCAAAAAGCAGAAUGGAGAUGAGACAGGCUGCAGUUAAAAUUUCAAUGUGGUUUCAAACAAGAGGUUCAAUUCCUGUGAAGAUCCAGAUUACCAGAAUGAAAAUGACCUGGCCAAUGAGAGCAUCAAGAACAUCAAAUCAGGUAAUACUUCAGGGAGCAGAUAUUACAGACUUGCUGCAGUGUGUUUGACCCUGCUGUGUGUUCUCCUGAUUUCUGGUGUCUCAGUGCUGUGGGUCAAGUUCAACAAACUGGCAACAACCGACUCCAGACCAGCUAUGCAAACCUGACUACUGAGAGGGACCAACUUUACAGUGCUCUGAAGAGAGAUGAAAGACCAGCUACAGGCCAGCUACCACAACUUGACAGUUGAGAAAGACCGGUUACAGAGCAUUUACAACAACCUGAAAGUCGAGAAAGACCAGUUACAGACCAGUUACAACAACCUGACAAUUGAGAGAUACAAGCAACAUACCAGUUACAACAACCUAACAGUUGAAAGAGACCAGUUACAGACCAGUUACAACAACCUGACAGUUAAGAAAGACCAGCUACAGACCAGUUACAACAACCUGACAGUUGAGAAAGACCGGUUACAGAGCAUUUAUAACAACCUGAAAGUCGAGAGAGGCCAGCGACAGACCAGUUACAACAACCUGACAGUCGAGAAAGACCAGCUACAGACCAGUUACAACAACCUGACAGUCGAGAAAGACCAGCUACAGACCAGUUACAACAACCUGACAGUCGAGAAAGACCAGUUACAGACCAGUUACAACAACCUGACAAUUGAGAGAUACAAGCAACAUACCAGUUACAACAACCUAACAGUUGAAAGAGACCAGUUACAGACCAGUUACAACAACCUGACAGUUAAGAAAGACCAGCUACAGACCAGUUACAACAACCUGACAGUCGAGAAAGACCAGUUACAGACCAGUUACAACAACCUGACAGUCGAGAAAGACCAGUUACAGACCAGUUACAACAACCUGACAAUUGAGAGAUACAAGCAACAUACCAGUUACAACAACCUAACAGUUGAAAGAGACCAGUUACAGACCAGUUACAACAACCUGACAGUUAAGAAAGACCAGCUACAGACCAGUUACAACAACCUGACAGUCGAGAAAGACCAGUUACAGACCAGUUACAACAACCUGACAGUCGAGAAAGACCAGUUACAGACCAGUUACAACAACCUGACAAUUGAGAGAUACAAGCAACAUACCAGUUACAACAACCUAACAGUUGAAAGAGACCAGUUACAGACCAGGUACAACAACCUGUUAAUCGAUAUAGACCAGCUACAGACCAGAUACAACAACCUGACCGUGGUGAGAGAACAAGACCAGGCAAAAUGUACAGAAUUGGCUAAUGAAAUGGAGAAACUGCAGACAAACUACAGCAGAAUGACAAACCAGAAAGACCAGUUGCAGAAGGAGAAAGAUGAAAUUCAGGACAUAUUGGCAAAGAUAGAAAAAACUCAGGGAUGGAUAUACUUUAUGGAUGGAUAUACUAUACUUCGGUUCCAGUCUUUACCUCAUCUCUACUGAGAAGAAGCGAUGGACUGAAAGCAGACAGGACUGUAAAACGAACAAAGCAGACCUUGCGAUCAUCCAGACCAAAGAGGAACAGAUUCUGGGCUCCAGGGGAACCCAAUAAUGUGGGUAAUGAGGACUGUGCUGAGAUUUGGGGUUUUCCAGGUAAAAAGUUCUGGAACGACAGGCCGUGCGAUGAUAAAGUAAGGUGGAUCUGUGAGAAACUGUCUACUCUGUGGUAAGAUGAAAAAGAAAAGAAUAAAAGUCUUAGUGAUGUAAGAAAAUAACUCUGACUUUGCAUUUCACUAUGAUUUCUUUUCAGAUUAAACUUAGCAUCAGUCAGCAAGUGAUUUCCAAUGAACGUCACAAGAGUAUCCUUGAGUACCCCAACAAUAUUAAAAAUCCUAAAUUAGCAGUUUCUGAAAGAUUCAAAUCUAAUCUAAAUCUAAUUCAAAUCUUCUACCUGGUGAUACCUGCUGAAGACCUGUAUCUGCAUGAGCUAAUGCACUCCACUGUGAUGCAGCCACAUGAUUGGUAAACUCCACAAAUGUAAGACUGUAAUAAAGCAGACAAAUAAUAAAGUGUAAUAAAGUGUUACUCUAAUGCCAUAGUAGCACUUUAGCCAGAUUUCGACAUUCAACACCUUUUUUAAGGAGCUGUUAGCUAGCUAGCUUCUUUUGUUUAGCUAAUUUACUGUAAUCACAGAUGUCUAUGGAUGCACUAAGUAUUUUUUCCCCAAAGCAUGAGAAAAAAAAAUGUAUCAAAUAUAUAUAUCUUAAUGAGACUCUUCACAUAUUGGUGUCUGUAAUUUUUUUUAUUUCACUGUUCAAUGGUUACAAAAAUCAGUGGCAUUAGCUUGUAUUGUUUUUUCUGUUUCUGAAAUAUUUCUUGAAGAUUCUAAAUAAGGCAAACGAAGUGGAAUUCAUUAUUUAUUUGUCGUGGAGUAUUUUGUAAAUGAAAUCAGAGCCUUGGAUUUGAAUGAAUGCUAGAAUUAAUCUAUUGUGAAGUGUAAUAACAUAACUGGCAAUGCAGUCAGGAGUUGUUUGUUUAUAUUUGUUGUAGGCUUUUUAAAUCUGUUUAUUUGUCAUAAUCUACUGCAAAUUGGGCAUUUACAGCUUUCAAAAUGACGGCGAAAAAAAAUAUUUUAGUGGGCUCACUAAUACAUUCAUUAAUGGUGCUUGCAAAGCAACAUUAUUACUAUUGUGCCGGACAAAAUUUCGGCGCGUAACUUGUCCCACAGCUUUUGUCCUAGACCCAUGAAUGACAUGUCAAAUCGACCGGCUCAUUGAGGAGAGGUGUGGUAUGACUUUUCUAAGCGAUCCGAGUACCGGUACUUCCAGUACCGGGUCUCAAAAUGGCCUCGGCAAGCUUUCGAACAACUCGGCAAGCUUUCGAACAACUCGGCAAGCUUUCGAACUAUCUACACCAAAAUCGGCCAGCUCCUUUAGGGUGAUAGGGUGAUACUUGUAGGGCUGAACAAACUUUUAAAUUGGUGUACCGACUGGCCUUUCAGUUGUGCCGCAGCCCCGCCCCCAAAAUAUGCAAAAUCAAAAAACUUUUUACAAGAUGAACAUGUGACAUAUCAAAACACUCACAACAAUGAGGGGAACUUCCUCACGUGUAUUUUGAUGACGUCACGUGAUGUCACGUGAAAAUUAAAAAUUAGCACAACAUGGAUAUGUGACAUAUCAAAACACUCACAACAAUGAGGGGAACUUCCUCACGUGUAUUUUGAUGACGUCACGUGAUGUCACGUGAAAAUUAAAAAUUAGCACAACAUGGACAUGUGACAUAUCAAAACACUCAGCACAAUGAGGAAAACUUCCACAAGAGUAUUCAGAUGAUGUCACAUGAUUGACUCGACUAGCCUCCAGGAUUUGCCACGUGCAAGCACCAUUCAC